GAAUUGAAGAAGAUAAAGGAACUGGCCACAGUGGCAGGAAGCUGUUUAAAACUGAAGUUGAUGGACUUCCUUCUACAUUGGCCUUGGGAAGAAAACUCUUGAGGUGUUUUGUGACCUAACCUGACUCUCUUGGGUCUGCUGCCCCUAGUUCCAGUUCUGGAGGAGGAGGAGAAAGGAGGAAGAUGGGCAUAAUUUUCCAAAUCAGCAAGCAGGAUCUGAGGAAGUGCUGCCAUGUUCUGGACUUUAAGUGGAUUAAUACCAUACCAUGGAUAAAACAAGAACAUUGGAAAAACAAGACCUCACCAUUCACAGAAAAAAAUCCUAAUUCAACAAGCAAUAUGUGA
rnacentral:lncRNA from 1 species